rnacentral:rRNA from 1 species
UACGAAGGGGGCUAGCGUUGUUCGGAAUCACUGGGCGUAAAGGGCGCGUAGGCGGCGUUUUAAGUCGGGGGUGAAAGCCUGUGGCUCAACCACAGAAUGGCCUUCGAUACUGGGACGCUUGAGUAUGGUAGAGGUUGGUGGAACUGCGAGUGUAGAGGUGAAAUUCGUAGAUAUUCGCAAGAACACCGGUGGCGAAGGCGGCCAACUGGACCAUUACUGACGCUGAGGCGCGAAAGCGUGGGGAGCAAACAGG